AUCGGCGUAAGGGCGAGCGGUUUCGCGUCGGGGAAUCCUGGCUCACCUGGGGCGCGUGGAACUGGGGACUGAGGGUGAAGAGGGCCGGGAAUUUCACGUGUAGCAGGUGAAAUGCGUAGAUAUGGGGAGAGAAUACCGGUGGCGAAGGCGGCUGCCUGGACCACACCUGACGCUGAGGCGCGAAAGCGUGGGGAGCAAACAGGAUUAGAUACCCUGGUAGUCCACGCUGUAAACGAUGCGUGCUGGGUGUUGGGGGGCUUAUCCGUCGGUGGCCAAGGCAACCCCGUAUAGCCGCCGCCUCGGGAGUACGCGGCGCACGAGUGAGACUCUCAGAGAUAUGUCGC
rnacentral:rRNA from 1 species